AAGUGAACCAGGAUAAAAUACCUGUGUGCUAUUUUGUUUAUAUCUUGCACCUAGUUCUUAUCCUUAAGUUUUGUAAAACUUAAAAAGGGAUAUCUUUUGUUAAAAACUCUAUUCAAACCCCCCUUUCUAGUGUUUUUCGCACCUUCACUUGACUAUUUACCCAAAAAUAAAAACAUUAAUAACUCGUUCUUAGCCCAUAAAUC
rnacentral:lncRNA from 1 species